AGUGAACGCUGGCGGUAGGCCUAACACAUGCAAGUCGAACGGCAGCACAGUAAGAGCUUGCUCUUACGGGUGGCGAGUGGCGGACGGGGGAGGAAUACAUCCGAAUCUACUUUUUCGUGGGGGAUAACGUAGGGAAACUUACGCUAAUACCGCAUACGACCUACGUGUGAAAGCUGCGGACCUUCGGCCCUUGCGCGAUUGAAGGAGCCGAUGUCGGAUUAGCUAGUUGGCGGGGUAAAGGCCCACCAAGGCGACGAUCCGUAGCUGGUCUGAGAGGAUGAUCAGCCACACUGGAACUGAGACACGGUCCAGACUCCUACGGGAGGCAGCAGUGGGGAAUAUUGGACAAUGGGCGCAAGCCUGAUCCAGCCAUGCCGCGUGGGUGAAGAAGGCCUUCGGGUUGUAAAGCACUUUUGGUGGGAAAGAAAAGCAGUAGGUUAAUACCUCGCUGUUCUGACGGUACCCAAAGAAUAAGCACCGGCUAACUUCGUG
rnacentral:rRNA from 1 species